rnacentral:lncRNA from 1 species
UUUGCGGGGAAAGUAAACGGUUAUGAGGCACUUUUCUUCCCAUCAUUAUUUUCGUCUGGUCACAUGCUUUAAAAAUAUACAUAUGUUUUAGGUCAGUCAUUUGCAGGUAAUUAAGUACAGGUCGCGCAAAUUGUGCAUUUCGGGCCAUUAUUUUGCCUGAAAAUUUAGUGUCCUGUAACCGUCGUUUUACUCGUUUUUAUAAUAGAAACAACGGAAUCAGCAGGCUGAUAAUGUCACACGAUGAAAUGCUAAGUAUAUGCAAUACAUCCGCUCAACACUUUCCUGGAAUUUUCAAAACUGGAUUUUUUAUGAUUUUUUUCGCACUGGUAUCAGCGCAGAUUUGUGGAAUUUUCAAAUUUACUGUCCCUUGCCCCCUUAAUGGUUUCACUUCAGACUUCCCGCGGCACGAACCAGCAUAAUUUCGUGUAGCAUUUAUGAUAUAUAUUUUGUUUUCAUGCAAUCCUCGUUUACGAACACGUAGACUUCUUUUAAUUACGCGAUUCAAGCAUUCAUGAAAACUAACUGUUAAGUGGUGACAGUUUUAUGCCACCAUAGAUAACCCAAUUUUAUUAAAGAUCUAGUGGCUGCCUUAAGUGUUUAUAAUAUUGUAGUCAUUGUAUUGUUUUCUGUCUGGAUAUAUUUGGUCUAACAUUUUGUUUAUAUUGGAAAUUCAGUAAUGAAAAGAAAUAAGGAAUAAAAUUGGUGGUCAUACACCGGUCAUGACCUCGUAUGAACUCGCUAGCCUUAAUGUAGGUCAAAUGCCUAAUCGGCGUUAAAUAUAGUGCAUGUAAGGAGAUAUUCAACCAAUCAAAACCUGUCUUUCAUGAAUAUCUGUCACAUGACACGUAUAACUGUAAACAAAUAUACAUGUAUAUACAUUAGACGUGGCAGCUGUCGCAUAGCAAGAAUAAAGUGUCAAACAAGCGUAAAAAUGUCAGCAGACGCAAAGGAAGCGGAUAAAGAAUAUAUGGAUGAGUACGAAGACUACAACAUAGACCAGGAAAAGUUCGUACAUUCUGGACACAGCGGAAAGGGGCGGUCAAAAAAGGAGGCCGCGCUAAACCACCACGAGGACCCCGCUGGACACACUAGAAAAAACGUGCAAAAGCUGGUGAAUAAUGCAGCAAAUAAUAAAAAGACGUAAUAUACCAUAGAAGUGAUCAUAGGAAUUUUCUAGACAUCGAUACGGACGGACGACCAUUGGAUUAUGAUUUUGAACUGUGAUAUAUGCUGUUUACAACCAGAACAUUUGGGGAAAAUAAAAUUGGGACAAAGCUGUAAUUAACUGAAUGUGAUCCAAUAAACUUAUAUUGAUCUGUGUUAAUUAGUUUAAUACUAGUCAGUUUAAAGUCCCUAGGUCCGCUGACAGUAGAAUCUUUCAGCCGAAGAGGACGUUGAUCAGGUGAAGGGAAAUGAUUCACAUUUUGUCAUAAAUCGUGCUUUCAACAAUUUUUUGAUUUGUCCCUUUAGACUUAUCACUUUUUUCAAAGAAGUUGUUCUUUGAUCUCUCACGAAAUUUGUUUUUUAUAUUCAUAUUCAUUUUCACAUUUAACGUGUUCAAAAUAAAUCGUGCUCUUCCUAAAUAAAAUGUUGACUUUGUGAAGAA